rnacentral:sRNA from 1 species
GGAAAUAAAUAUAUUAAUUCAUAGAGAUGCUAUGGUCCGAACAGUCUGUGACCCCUGGACUAGUCUCACAAAACCAUCUGGCCUGUGGGGGUCCACACUGAACUCGGCCCAAAGAUGAACGCAGCGUGGUCAGGCUGAGUGACCUUAAAACCACUCUCCAUUCGUGACUCAGUUUCCUCAUGAUGUUCCCAGACGUCGGCUAUUUUUCACACUGAAAUUCCAAACUCAAGUCAGUGUCUUUGAAAGGCACGGCUGCCGUGUCUUCUUCCUGUUUUUUAAAAGCUUCAUAUGGCUGAUAGUCAUUCUUUGUUUGCUGCUGCUGGUUUUUUGAAGUCCUAGCACAUUGCGGUGUUCAGUUAACACUGGGGGAAUUAAAGUCAGAUGACCUGCAAUAUGUUUCUAUGUGUAAACCUAGGCAUGGUGGCACAUAUUCCUGACACUCAGGAGGCUGAGGCAGGAUGAUGGCAAGUUUGAAGUUAGCCUGGUCUGCAUAAGAUUCUGGGCCAGUGUGAGGUACUUAACAACAUCCUGUCUCUACACAAAACAAAGCUCAAAUCGAACAAACAAACAAACAAAAAUGCUCUAUAUUUCCUCAAAAGUGCAUAUUGAUAGCUUUAAACCAAAGGGUCAGUCAGUGGGAAAACUGGGAAGGAGUACCAAUCAGUCCAAAGUUGACUGAAGAUCAUUGGUUUUACUCCAUCGGACAAAUAACACCUACAUUUUCAAGAAGGGACAGUCUUUAUUUCCAAGACACUGGCACAGUUGGAAUUCAGUAAGGAGGAUAGAGCAGACCUUCCCACUCAUUGGGCAAAAGCCAACCCUUGACUUGAUAGAAAAAGAGUCUUGUCUCUAUUUCAUCCAAAGACAGCUUGACAUCCUGCAAUAAGAUCGGGUAAGCCUUUCUUAGACAGGAGGACGGGACCAAAGCACUGCUAGACCACUGUGGUCCUCAUGGUCACUGGAGUUCUAGAAGGAAAAACAGUGUAUGCUCCCUCCAUCUGGGUGCCUGCUACGUGCCUUGGCAUAUAAGAAGAAAGGACGGACAUCUCCUGGGACCCUGGAUUGUUCAAACACAAGACAGUGGUAAUCAAGUCAAAAGAGGACCCCAGAGCUAACUGGAACCAGUCAGAAUUACAAUGCACUUUUCAAAUGACUGUUCAUCCAUUUCCGGAGUUAGAGAACAUAGACAAGUCCAUACCCUAAGAGUAGUAUUUUGGACCUGAUGUCAAUGCAUAGAACCCAUGUAAAAAUGUGGGUGUGGUGGCAAGAGUCUCAGUGCAUCCCUGGGGCUUGACAGCCAGCCAUUGUAACUGAAUCAAUAAAUUUCAGGCCAAGUGAGUCAUGCUAUUUCAAAAGGCAAGGUAGACAGCAUCCCAAAGAAUAACCUUUGACUUCUGAGGCUAACCUUUGGCCUCUGCACAUAUUCACACGUGUAUACCCAUGUACACACAUACACACAAAAUGCUGUUUUAUCCAGUAUAACUGGAUUUAUCAAAGAAACACAAGGCAAUGGUAUUUACUGGUUCAUCCUAACGAAAGCUAUUUGUCAUAUGUUACCUACAAACCCCGAAAACUUAGGAAACAUGAUUUACAACUUUAAUUACAAUGGAAAUAUGUGCCUACACUCAUGCAGAUAAUUAAACACAGCUCAAACUCAUUACUGAGUUACUCGAAAAAACAAACCGCUAAGCCUAAGACUUAAUUAUAAAGCUUUCAAUCUGACUUGAAUUAAUACUUUCUAGCCUCCAAUGAAUUUCAAACAUUUCAAUGGAAUUUCAUCAAAAUUUCAGCGAACAUUUAAGUCAUUGACUUCAUAUUCUUCAAGGUAGUUUAAAAACAACAACCACAACAACAACAACAAAACCACAUGUAUUUUCCAAAAAGGAGACUGCAGAAAUCCCCACCCACAAUUCACAGCUAUAGAUUUCCAAGAGCCAACAGCCAGGAGUAAGCGCACUCUGGAGACAUAGCUUGCUCAGCUCUGGGCUGAGCUCUGGGCUCAGCUUUUACACUCAUUAUUAGCCCUUUACUCUUCGGGGGCCUUGCAUUCCCCUCUUUGACUUCCUCCAUCCAUGGUAGGUUAGUCUUGUCUGUUUCUUUGUUGGGAAGAGCAGCUUAUCAUCAUCCUAGAACACAAAGGACUGGCCAGUCUGUAGUUCCAGCACGUGGAAGGCAAAGGAAGGUAAGAGGAUAGGGAGUUCGAGACCAGCCUUAGCUACCUAACAAGUCUGAGCCUGCCUGGGCUACAUGAGACACUGUCUCAAACAAAACAACAAAAGGAAAAGAAAACACCUCUCGAAUGACCACAGAUAAGUGUGCAUAAACUGUCUCUGGAGCUAUCCCUUUGUUUUUGGAAUGAAACACAGCUUUUAUGUGCAUGCAAGUAAGAUGUGUUUAAGCCAACACGUCACCAUGGUGCUGUUUUCUGAUUAACAAUUCUAAUUUUUUUUUGUUAAGUAAAAGAAAAUACUUUCUGGACUUUCCUAGAAAUUUCAAGUUAAGCUUUAUAUUUACCUAAAAGCUGUGAUAAUUGUUUUUAUAGGUAGAGACAGCCACACCCAACUUAGCUGAGCUACUUCCAAAGCUUGACUUAGUCUGACAUCUAGUGCCCAGAUAAGGAAAGCAUAACAGAGCCAAUGGUACUUUUCUUUUUCUUUUUUACUAAUGACUCCAUUUCCCAAGAUAGCGGCUGGCUGCUACUAGCAAGAGAAAGACAACAAAUGUGAGUGGCACUACUUGGUAUAGUUUAUGGAAUAACUUUAGGUCACCACGAACCUAAAACAUGGAAGGCUCUGAGGCUGGGACUGGGUCUGGUUUUCAGGCUGCAGUGGGUGAGUGCUGGAAAGUCAAACCAGAAAAACAACAAACCCAAAUCAAAACAAGAGGGCAACAGUGUCUCGAGAAUGUCGCAGGACAGUGUCCUUUAAAAACAUUCCAUGGCCCUCUGGCUUUAUACUUAUCUGUGCUUACGGGAUAAAUGACAGCAAUCUAGACUGAAACUGGCCAAUGACGUCAGUCCCACCAUUUCUUAGCUGUGUGAUGUUAGUUACCUAAUUUGCCUUUGUGUCUCUGCUUCUGUGCUUUCUCUGCCAGGAGAAUUAUAAUAUCUACUUUCCAGUAAUGUGUAAAGUCUCUCCACUAUGAACACUCGUUGAACCUUUAGGAUACCCCAGACACUGUAUGAAAGUGUCUACUUUUCUUAAUAACUUGUAACAGAUGUGCUAUAUCCCUUCCAUAGCUGAGAAAACUGAGGCCUAUCAAGAGGACAUCAUCUGCCAAAGUUCCCAAAGACGCUUCUGACCUCUAUUCUGGUGUAACACCCAACACUUACCUACUGUGGCCGAUGCAGAUGAGAGCAGAGACUUCCCCCAGGACCCCCAGCCUGCCCAUCUUCCUGUUGGUGGUGAGGAGUCCACGGCCUGCACAAGAACAAAUUGGCAUAAGGAACGCAGUAGUUUCUGUCAAUCUCAUCAAGUGAGUCCUGACUUAGCAGAAGCAUAGCUUUCUUUUACUAUUCACAAACAGAAAGCAAGGGAAGAAGAUAAAGAUCCGCAGUAAGUCGUAGACAAAGUAAGAGAGCUUUUUAUAGGAAGGGAGGGUGGGAGGAGAGGAAGAGGCCUAUAUAACCUGUAGAUUCUGUAACUCCAAGGCUAGCUAUCAGUCACUCCCAGUGCCCUUUCCCCUGCCGUCUCCCUUGCAGAUAGAUGUAUACAAAUGGGGAAACUUUUGCUUUUGUGAUAAAUUUCAGUUAUGGCUGUUGCCAAUGCUUUUUCCUGUUCUGAAUGUGGAGUGAAGCAGGGAGAUUUGCUGCCUCCGGGAAAGGUCAAAGAAUCCCUGGUCCUGAUGCUGAAGGAGCACUGAGCCAACGCCGGGAGCUGCUUGUCCCAUCUUUUGUGUUAUGGGAGAAAAACACAUUGCUGUUCUGUAAACUGCUCUAUGUGGAUUUUAGUUAUUUGUAUCUCGCUGCAUCCCUAACUGAUUUAUUCAGUAAAUAUCAAAUAUCAUCUAUUCAGCAGAGAGAAAUGGAAAAGGUCACUGAGUUACUGAAGCUCUUCUAAGCCCCAUUCAUUUGUUACAAAAUGCAAGACAAGAUGGAGGACAGCUCUCAGAGUUGGGGGAAUACACUCAAUGAUAUCAAGGAUUUGUGUAAAAUAGUACCUUGAGUAUAUGCAAUGAACAUUUUACAAACAUAAAAGAACUCUCAGAGCCAAUAACCCUACAGGUCUUGAGAAGAUUAAAAAAUGAUUUCAUAUGAAUUUGUCAUAUGAGCAUAAAUGUUAGGUUGAAGCACCAGCUUUAAGGCUGUGACAGAGAGUUUUGGAAGCUGGCUGUCAGUUUUUCCUUCUGUCUGGAAACAGAGAGAGACUUGUCAACAUGAGUGGAACACCCAUGACUCAUGACUGUCUGCACUCGUUUGUGGUGUCUACAUUGAUUAACCCCAUUCGGCAAUGGAGUCCAGUAGCAAUUUUACGCCACCAGGAAGACAGAUGACUGUUGAUGACUAAUUUCACUCUUUCACUGGGCCAAUCACUGCCUGUGACUAGAAAGAACAACACAUUCAGGGGUGAUAGCUUCUGACCUCAGAUCUUCAGUAUUGACUGUGCCCUGACAACUGGCAAUUGGUUAGCAAAUAAAACAGAGAGUCAAAUCACUCUAGAACUUUUUGCUGUGUACUAAGUGGCUACUUCAAUUGCUUUAUUAAUAAAGUCCUUGACAUUGAGCUGGAACCCCUGACUAGUUACAAGGAAUAUCUAUAAUUAAUAGAAAAUCCUCACACGACUCAUAUCAAAAAAUAUAAACUAAAUAAGUGUUAACCAUGAAUUUUAUACCUCAAAAUAAAUACUGUCUCCACUAACUGGUCACUAGGUGACAUGCUUAGAAGCCUGUAAAAUAGCAGUGUAGGUCCCAUGAGGUGACUCAGGGGGUAAAGGUCUUACCAUGGGGGUCUAAUGACAAAAGUUCAAUUCCUGGAACCAAGGCAGAAGGAAAUAACCUUCUCCACAAAGUCCUCUGACCUCUACAUGUGUGCUGUGGUGUACAGGCAUGUGCAGAUUGCACACAUACACAUUCAAAUCAGAAUGAAAUAAGCAGGGUGGAUCAACUUGCUUCUCACAUUGCUAAAUGCUGCUGUAAAGCUUUCUUUCUCACUGUCCAUCUCUAUAUGUCUCUCACCUCCUUUAACAGAGACCUUCCUGGCCUAACUCAGAAGCAGAAGGCAGCCUCUGAGAACUUACUAGCUUUGUUUGUUUGUUUUCUCCUUCCCAUAAACUCGGAAGAACGACCUUGUAUAGCUGGGGCAAAACUGACUGGGAUUGAUCAAGGACAUCUAAGUCAUAAUUAGAGGGGCUGGAGAGAUGGCUCAGCAGUUAAGAGCACUGGCUGCUUUUUCAGAGGACCUGGGUUCAAAUCUCAGCAACCACAUGGAGGCUCAACGACCAUCAAUAACUGCAGACCCAGGGGAUCCGAUGCCCUCUUGAAAUCUCUGGGUAUUAGACAUGCAUGUGAUGCACAGACACACAUACAGACAAAGCACCCAUACACAUGAAAUAAAAACAUUAAGAUUUAAACAAAAAAUAAAACCGAAUUGGUCCUUUGAACAACUGCAACUAUUGUAUGGUCCUAAGAAUAUUCAACUAUGCAGGACUGCAUCAAGUUCAGAGUUCCUUAAGUAGAGAAGACAGUUAAAUACCUAGUCCCACCUAACAUCGAAUAGAAAGUACUUUUUAGGUUGGACCUGUGGCUUAGUGGCCUGGCUUGAGCAAGGCCCAAGUGCCCUCCCUAAGACCCUCAUCACCACCACUCAAAUGACCACUUCACCUACUGAGGCUGGGAUGUGGCCCUGUCACAAAGCCAUUUGCCUAGGCUGUGUGAGACCCUGGGUUAGAGCUCCAGGAAAAGAAACUAUUUAUUUAAUUUGGGUGAACAAGUUCAAAACUAUAAAUAAAGACGAGGUAAAAAUCUAGAGGGGUCUGUCAAAGACAGGGAACGUUCACAUUUAGAUGAAAAAUACAAACUCCUGUGUUAAGGAUAAAAGACUAAUCUGGGUGUCCCAUCCCCAAGAGAGACGAGGAAUCAGGUAUCGUGUAUAUCCCAUAGCAAGGAUGUCUGCCGUUAGACCUGCCAGGUCUUCCUUAAGUUCUGUAGCUCACAGCACAGACACUCAAAGUAGCCAGUUCAGCAAGGAGGCUGCAAGCUGUCCUGGGUGCUGCUCUGUCAGAAGGUCUGACUGGCAAUGGUCUCAGUUAUUUCCAAGUAAUUUUCUUCCCUUGUGAGUAAACCUUUUCUAGCUCUGGAAAGAUUUAAAACUUAAAGGUGGAAAGGCUAACGCGCCAAAGCCAUGCUAAUAAUUUUUUUGUGUGUGCACAUGUGACCUUUUCUGUCCUACUGAUAUUUAUGAAAGUUAACAGGGUCACAAGGUUUGAACACCAAUUUACAAUGAAUAGCUGAAUUAUCACAUCACAGACUUCAGCUGAAAAGGCCCACAUUUAGGAAUGCUGCAUUAACAUUUAUGUCUUUAAGCCACUUUAUACAUUUAAUAGCUUUAUAACAAUUACUAAGUACUCAGCAAGGUUUUAUAAUCUAUAGAUGAGGCACUUAAGAAGGAAAUAGACUGUAUUACAUUUAAAGCAUUCAAGUUAGUAAGAAAUAAAAAGGAUCAAACAUUAAACAAAUUUCCCUAGAAAGUGGCUGCUCGAUUUUGCUGGGCUUGUAUACAGAAUUAUGAUUUGCAAGAUGAACAUAAAUCCUAAGGAAAAAGUGAGUGUUUAAAAUUGCAAUCUUAAUAAGCUAAACACUAUUUAAAUCAAAUUAAACAUCCAAGUAGAUCUUUCUACAUACAAUACACACAUCAGCUUACACCAAAGCCCAUCUAAACCCAAAUCAAAGGAUGCCAAAGCCAACAGACAAUGGUUUUAUUCUUCUGUUGUCAUGGAAACAAUGUCAUCCUUUCCACUGUCCUUUCUACCUGACACCGCCCCAACCCUGGGCUGGUUCAAGGUCUCUCGACUUUAUCUUUCUCCCAACAGUAACUUCUUAUAUUUAACUAUGCCCAAGGUGUCUCCAUCACAGCACUUCAACAGGAACAAGGGGUUUCUACCAGCUUUAUGCUCCAUAUCUUUCUUCUCCACCUCGUCAGAAUGACGCCAGUCUUCUGUACCCACUCCUGUCAUCACUCACCCAUGGAACACAGCAAGAGUCCACCUGCUACCACUUUAUGAAGCCGUUUGUAUCAGAGUCGAAAUGGCUUGGACUCAUGUUAGUUUUUCAUUGCCCAACCUCUCAGAAGGAUUUGAGAUUUAAAGCACUCUAGUUGCAUAGCAUUGGUACCAGUUCACUCUUUUUUACCAGUUCACAAAAGACCAGAGGCAGGCACCUUUUCCAAGGAAAAGGUGUUCACUGAGUUCACAGUUCUGGAUUCUUCAAGGCAAGCUCAGCAUUGGCUUGGUUCUGCUGAGGAUCUCAGGGUGGAUGGUGUCCCAGUAGUGGGAGAAUGUGAGGAAGGAAUUGUAUCUCAAAGCAGGAAGCUGGAGAACAACUCAAUGCUUAGACUUAUCAUUUUAACAGCCCGUUCUUUCGAGAGCUCAAGAGUCCCAUGAGAGGCACGUUAAUGCUUUCCUAGGAUGGCUUCCCCAGGAAUGCUCCCUGGGCCCUAUCUGUCAGAUGUACAACCUUCCAACAUCUCUGCACCGAGAACCAAUCUUCUAACCCCACCCCUCAGGCAUCCAGCGCAAACGAGAUCUAAGUCACAGCAUUGCCUGCGCCCUAUCUUUCCAUUCUUGCCUUCUUAUUGUCAGUAUUCAGUAUCACGACAUCAGUUAUUUUUAGAACACUCUUACAUACGUAGAAUGCUAUUGUGUAUGCUCCUUAGAUUAAGCUACAAUCUGAGAGCUGUCAGCAUUCCAAUAAAAUAUGUACGGUCCAGGUCAGCAGGGCAUUCUCAUUAGGAGACCCAUGCUCUAGAGGCAGCCGUAAUAGGCAAUUCUAUUAUAUCUGCCUCCAUUAACAUUCGAGGGUUUACUAAUUAGCAUUCUGAAUUGCAGGAAUAUAUCUUAACUGGCGAACACAGCAGACUUUUUACUUGCAUCCCCAAUAUGUGAAAAGAAAGGUCUUCAAGAUUUGUAGAUAGUUAAAUACAUCUAAGAGAGUCUUCCUGUCUUUACAUGUUCAGGCAUAAGAAAAGCAUGCUCAGCCAGAAAGACGGAUGAGCAGUUAUAGGUGCUGGCUGCAAGCCUGCUAAGGUGAGUUGGAUCCCAGGAGCCACAUCGUGGAAGGAGGGGACUGACACCUGAAGGUUUCCUCUGACUUCAACACAUCAACCAUAACACAUGUGCACUCAUACAUGUACAUGCAUGUGC